AUUGAACGCUGGCGGCAGGCUUAACACAUGCAAGUCGAGCGGGGUGAUGGUGCUUGCACUAUCACUUAGCGGCGGACGGGUGAGUAAUGCUUAGGAAUCUGCCUAUUAGUGGGGGACAACAUCUCGAAAGGGAUGCUAAUACCGCAUACGUCCUACGGGAGAAAGCAGGGGAUUACUUGUGACCUUGCGCUAAUAGAUGAGCCUAAGGCGGAUUAGCUAGUUGGUGGGGUAAAGGCCUACCAAGGCGGCGAUCUGUAGCGGGUCUGGGAGGAUGAUCCGCCACACUGGGACUGAUACACGGCCGAGACUCCGACGGGAGGCAGCAGUGGGGAAUAUUGGACAAUGGGGGGAACCCUGAUCCAGCCAUGCCGCGUGUGUGAAGAAGGCCUUAUGGUUGUAAAGCACUUUAAGCGAGGAGGAGGCUCUUUUGGUUAAUACCCAAGAUGAGUGGACGUUACUCGCAGAAUAAGCACCGGCUAACUCUGUGCCAGCCGCCGCAGUAA
rnacentral:rRNA from 1 species